GGCUCGGUGGUGUAGUUGGUUAUCACGUCAGUCUAACAAGGCACUCGCCCUCGGACACUGAAGGUCCCGAGUUCAAACCUCGGCUGAGUCA